rnacentral:lncRNA from 1 species
CUUUUCUUGCCUGCCAACUUUGUGUUACAUUGGUCCAGUCCAACAGAUAUUUUAGCAUCAAAUCUUGGGGAGCAGGAGUUCAUUCCCUCCCAUAAGGCUCUGAACCUCUUAUGCAAAUUGGUUUACUUCCUCCUCUAUGAUCAGCUUUGGGCGGCAAUAUGUGAUGUGAGCAGACUCCCUUAGGUCACAUCAGUGGAUCCUAUUGGCACUCUAAAAGAGAGUGCAGGAGUGAGUCUUUCCGGACUAAAGUAGGCCUAUAGAGUCCAGCAUUAUUUCAGCCUGCCAUCUUGCUGGCAAAUGUCCUACACUUCUACUCAGUGGAAAAGUUUGAAAACAUCAGAGGUAGGAUGCAGAAAGAUGUUGAAAUGAUGAAUUAGCAUCAGCAUGUCCCUAAUCAGCUGCUACUUAUGACUCACAAAGGAAGAAGCAUCAGUGGAUGGACCAACAACAUCAUCAAUAUCAUACUCCCAAGAGGUGAAAGAAGUGAUAAGAUUUUACUAUUUGUGUCCAAUAAUGGCUCCAGAAAUUUCUGUAUGGAAGGAUCUAAGGGGAAACCAUCUGACUGGAAAG